rnacentral:lncRNA from 1 species
AGUGCUAUAGCUAAUGAAGCCGGCAGGAUCACUACUACAACUGCUAUGUUGGUUUGUCACACUUAAUAGAUUCAGCUGGUAAGGAGACAAUAAGCCCAAAUGGAUUCAGUUGAUUAGACAACAACAGUUUAAGAUCAGCAUGGCAUUAACAAUUCCAUAUCUCUAGUCCCACAGGAUUACACUGAACCAGAGGGUCCAGAUGAUAGGUGGCACAGUGGGUUGCCCUGCCACUGAGGAGUCAAUUCUAAACCACAACGGGCAUUUUUAUGGCAUGCAGCUGUACCCUAAGGAAGGAGGAGCAAGGUGAUCAACAGACAUUCAGAAGAUGGAGAAAACAGUCUCAUGAUAGUUCCUUAUCAGGCGGCUUAUUUCCCUUGCUCCAGGAAGAGUUGGUGUUCUCUGAAGGCACAGACACAUCCUGGGAAGUGCCUUCAUCUACUCGGAGGUGGAGGGGAAGGAGGCCCGCCAUCCAUCUGAACUCUCAGGUCAGCUGGCCUUGCUUUUUGGGAUACUCCAGACUUACAUGUGCCAGUCCCCAGGAGAGCCGACAGGCUACCUAGCAAAGGAACAGUGUCAAUCUUCCAAGCCACACCAGUCCUGAGGGCAGGAAGGCCUCUCAGGGAGCUGCUGGGUGGACCUUCAGUUGGGCCUGUCAGUGGAGUGAGGCUGCCUUCGCCCAGGGCUACCUUUCUUAGACAACUCAGCGCGGAGUGGGGCCCGAGUGUGAGAACUCAGAGCGGGGCUCCAGCUGCCACAUUUUUCUGCCUUGUAUGUGAUUGCUCUUGUCUCUUGUCCUCUAAAAAUCAUCCGUCACACGGCGAGACCCUGGGGUUCAGAGGGAACUCUGAAAGGAGCUGUUGUCUGUAGCUUUUAGACUUUUCUGAUUCACGAGCCCUAAUGAGAUUCCCUCCACCAGCCCAGAGGCACACUGAGCUCAGCAGGACACCAAGGAAAUGGAUUCCGCCCGAAAGCGUGGGAAGUAGAGUCUACACACGUUGGAGCAGCCCAGAGCAUGAAGAUUCUGGGGGUCCAGGUCCAAGGUUCAGGCAGGACUGAGGGGCGGGGGAAGCUCUCUGCUGCUCCCUCCCCUCCAGGGAAGCCGGAGAGGCCCUACUUGGACAGCUUGUGAAGUUGAGCUACUACAUAAGAUUCCCUUUGGCACAGACUGGUCUGCUACUGUAAAACAUUUACAAACAAUUCCUGCUGUUUGGCACUGCUGCUGCGAAUAGGGGCACUUUGGCCCAGAGGCUGGGGCGGGGAGGAUCUUACCCAAGGUCACCCAGCUGCUGGGCGAGCUGGAGCAGAAGCCAGCCCUCCCUCUCACUGGCCAGUGGCAUCUGUACCAGCCAUAUGGGAAACAGGCU